AUAUAACAAAAUUUGACAUUUUAUCGAAGUUUACUUAAAUUUAAAGACAUAACAUCUUCUUUUUGAAACACAACCACCACUUCCAAAUUUAUUAAUCAAAACAAAUCAUAUAAAAAAAUUAGCCAGUGAGCUCCUCCUCCUUGUGGGUCUCGAUGGUGACGUCAGAGGUCGGAUAAGCCACACAGGUGAGCACCCACCCUUCCUCCAACUGGUCGUCGUCGAGGAAGCUGCCGUCUGAUUGGUCCAGACUGCCGGAGACCACUUUCCCGGCGCAUGAUGAGCAAGACCCAGCCCUGCAUGAGUAUGGCAGAUCGAUACCGACUUCCUCCAUGGCGUGGUCAAGGAUGUACACGUCAUCAGGGCACUCGAACUCCUGGGUUCCUUCCGGGGUCACGAGGGUGACCUUGUAUGUGGCCAUCAUGGUAACUCCGCCGCGGUUACGGAUGCCGGUGCUGGAUUUGAGUCCGAAGAGGGCUGCUGUUUUGUUGGAGGUGGAGAGAGAACGGAUGGCGGUGGUGGGCUGUUGGCGGCGGAGGAAGGAUGUGCUGGCCAUGGUGCCGGUAAGAGAUGCGGUUGCUGCUGCCAUUGUGGUGGUGGUUGUGGUUCGGAGAGACAGAGGGAGAGAUGGAAGGGAGUAGAAGUAGUGAGAAUGAGGAUAGCAAGGAGGGCUUGUGGAAAUAGUGUGUCUUGAGGAUGAGAUAUCUGCCACGUGUCAGAUUUUUGUGGUGUGCUUUAUCAUGUUAUCACAAUACGUCUAUUUUUUUCGCCAAUUUUCAUUUGUUUAUGGUAUUAUUUUAAUAGUAAACAUGAUCUUGGAUGUACUUUUCUAUAUGUGCUUGUGGCCUUUCAUUUUAUAAGCAUAAACCAUACAAUAUAACUUAUUUUUAGGGCGAAUUAUCUAAAAACUACUAUAAUUUAAUAAUUUGUGAGUUUAAUUUCGCUAAUGAAAACCACUUCAUUUUUAUAAUUUUUCUUUUUCGGCCACUUUUAAGAUGCUAUAACAUGUCGCAUGUUAAAGUUUAUCAUAGUAAACCUUGAUAUUGAAUAUUUCGUUUAAAUCUUUAUAUUUUGAUGUGAUAAUUUUAAUAUAGCUGGUCAAAAUAGUCGAUAUAUGGGGUGUGUUUGGCAAAAUUAGCUGUUAGUUGAAAGUGAGUAGUGGUUAACUGGUAUCGGGUACCUAGUAGUGUGUAGCGGGUAACUGGUAGCAGAAAGCUGUAGCUUUUAUUUGUUAUGUGAAUGUUUGACAAAAGUAACUGGAAGCUUUUGAAAUAUAUAAAAUUACAUAAAAGAACAAUUAAUUAAAAAUAAAUAAAUAUAUAAAUAUAUUUUAAAGGGUAAUUAUGGAAAUUAAUUUCAAAAUCUCAGUAGCGUUUUGUUAAACGCUACAUGGAGUAGCUUUUAGAAUUGAAGCGUUAUGUUUAAACUAAAAGCUAAACGCUCGUACAGUCAAACAAAACUUUUUGUUUAAACUGGAGCGUUUUGUCAAAAGCUAAAAGUUCUCAAACACUUCCAAAAGCUCUGUGUCAAACACGCUCAUAAAAUUAUUUAGUGACUAUGAAAUUAACAUACCAUAAAAUUAAUCAAGAUAUAGUGAUUUUUAUAUAUUUUAUCAUACUUGUAAGGGAGGAGAGAGUCAUUCUCUACCAACCCACUAAACCCACUGUCACAUCAGUUUUUCUCUUUCAUUUUUCUUUAUCUUUUUCAACACACAACACAUAAAAACCCAAUCUUUUUCAACCCACUCAACUCAUUCAAUUAAAAAAAAAUACAAAACAAUCAAGGUAAAAUCUUAAUUAGCAAUAGACUUAUCGCCGGCACCACUCCCUCUUCAGCAGAUUAUUUAAUUGGUUUCACUAACUCACUUCAUCAUCUCUCUCAUUUUCUCUUAUAUCAUGUGUUUUAAGACUUGUACCUUAGUUGUUUUUUUUAAUUGAGUGGGUUGAGAUAGAUAGGAUUUCCGUGUGUUGUGGGUUGAGUAAGAUGAAGAAAAAAUAUACGAAAAAACUGAUGUGAAAGUGGGUUGGGUGGAUUGGGACAGGAGGAGAGAGUCAUUCCCUCCUAACCCACUGAACCUACUGUCACAUCAGUUUUUUUUUUCUCUCUUUUUUCUUCAUUUUUCCAACCCACAACACACAGAAAUCAUAUAUUUCUCAACCCACUCAACUCACUCAAUUAAAAAAAUACAAAACAACUAAGGUAUAAGUCUUUAAACACAUGGUAAAGGAUGAGAGAAGAUGAAGCGGAUUAGUGAAACCAAUUAAACAACUCACCAUUCCCAACCCAUUGAAGAGGGAGUUGUAUCUUGGAGGUACCACUGGUAGCUCUAUUACUAAUUAAGACUUGUAUCUUAGUUUUUUUUUUGUCUUUUAUUAAUUGAGUGGGGUUCAGUUGGUUGAAAAAAAUAGUUUUUCGUGUAUUAUGGGUUGAGAAAGAUGAAAUAAAAAUAAAAAUAAAAAUAAAAAAAAGAAAAAAAACUGAAUGGGUUGAGUGAGUUGGAAGAGAAUGACUCCCUCCUCUCUCUCUCUAAGAGAUAUAUAUAAAAAACUUCUCAGAUUCGUGGACUAAGCCAAGCCCAAACUGGGAGUCAAGUUACAAGCUCUUUGGUCUUUGUAGUUACUAGUAUGGGUAGUUUGUAUUAAAGUAUGGGAAAAUGACUUAUAAACCCAACGAAGUUUUCAAACUGUUCAAAAAACUCAAUUAUGUUUUGUCUGUUCAAGAAAACUCAACGAACUAACAUUUGGUCUAAAAAAGCCCAACUAACUUACACUUUGUUCACUUCUCAUUUAGGGUCAACCGGCUAAUAAAAGUCAACGAAUGACAUGGCUUAUGACGUGUAAUUAAAUAUCGGAAAAUGACUUGUAAGACCAACGGAGUUUCAAAUCUGUUCAAAAAACCCCAAUCAUGUUUUGUUUGUUGAAAAAAACCCAACGAACUUACGCUUUUUUUCAAUUCUCAUUAGAGGCAACCAGAUUCAUUAUGUAUACAACUAGUUGGCAAAUGACAUGACAUUAUGUUUAAUAUCAUGAAAUAAAUAGAUUAGAAAUACGCUUUAUAUAUCGAUUUAGGGUUUCGAGAAGAGAAAAACAAACGGUGUUUGUGUUCGAACUCUUGUAAUAGCUACUUCUUAUUCUUCCUCUCAAUCGUUGAUGUCCAACUCAAUAUCUACAAAGAAGAUAUUUGAUGAUGAAAACCCUUGUGGAUGUAGACNUUUGAUGAUGAAAACCCUUAUAGAUGUGGACACUCUUCUUGGAUUUGGACAUCUAGAACGGAGGAUCAUCCAGAAAAAAACGUUUAGGGCUAAAUCGAUAUAUAAAGGGCAAUUCUAAUCUCUUUAUUCCAUGUCAUUAAAUAUAAUGUCAUGUCAUUUGCCAACUAGUUGUAUACCAAAUGAAUCUGGUUGCCUCUAAUGAGAAUUAAACAAAAGCAUAAGUUCGUUGGGUUUUUUUCAACCAACAAAACAUGAUUGGGGUUUUGUGAACAGUUUUGAAACUUCGUUGGUCUUAUAAGUCAUUUUCUGAUAUUUAAUUACACGUCAUAAGCCAUGUCAUUCGUUGACUUUCAUUAGCCGGUUGACCAUAAAUGAGAAGUGUAAGUUAGUUGGGCUUUUUAGAGAAAAUCUUAAGUUCAUUGGGUUUUUUUGAACAGACAAAACAUAAUUGGGGUUUUUUGAACGGUUUGGAAACUUCGUUGGGCUUAUAAUUCAUUUUCCCUUAAAGUAUCAGCGUGUUCCCCUUUUCAAGGCCAAACAUACUAAUAUAAAUUCUUUUAUGUGGAGCAUUACAUUCCUAAAUAGUAAUAUAUUGAAUCAAGUUUCUUUUAGACUAUAGGUAUCAUAAGAACCAUAUUUUCUCUUUGUCAAGUAGGGAUAUAAAAUAUGGCUUUGCCACACAUUGGUGUGGUAACUAUGACAAACAUUUUUUUUUUUAAUUUUAUAAAACAAUUUAUUUUUAAUAAAAAACAUAAACCUUACUACUUAAAAAUAUAAGCAUAAAUAUAAAUAUCAACUUGUUAAUUAAAAAAAAGUCCAAUAGAAAUUCUUUUAUGUGUAUUCCUAAAGAGUAAGUAAUAUAAUGAAUCAAGUUUCUUUUAGACUGAAAUAUGUGGUAAACAAUAAUCAAGAAUCAUAUUUUCUCUUCUUCCAUGUAGACGUCAUAUAGGUAUGAUGUUAAUUUUACCACACAAAGUAUGGCUUUGCCACACCCCAGGUGUCAGAACUAUGACAAACAUUUUUUUUGUAAUUUUAUAAAACAAUUUAUUUUUGAUAAAAAAACAUAAACCUUGAAAGACCCCAACUUUCGUAUUUAUGAAAGACCCAAACUUUCAUACUAUUCCAACAUUAUUCCUAAGUUACUUCCUCAAAACAUGCUACAUGCAUAUUUAUAAAACAAUAUUUUAUAUUGAUAAAGUGAUUACAAAAGAUUGGAUACAAACCGACUAAGUUUUAUUACAUUUCAUAUCUACCCAGGAAUCUACUAUUCAUAUACAUACAUGAACAUUAAAAUACAUAGAAAUAGUAUUAACUAUUCUAAAUCUUUCAGCAGUAUAAAACUAUAUUGGAUACUUAUCACCUGCAAUUGUUAAAUAUUGAGAGGAAUAAACGAUAACGUUUAGUGAAUUCAAUAAAUUGAGAGGAAUAAACGAUAACGUUUAGUGAAUUCAAUAAAUAGAUACAAUAUAAUCUUAUGCCUUAUAUAUAUAAAUAUGACAGAAGCAAAAGGGAACAAGAACAACAAUAGCAUAUGCGUAUCAUAUGUCAGGCUUUCAAUAUCAACUCAAGAUUUGAUUCAANNNNNNNNNNNNNNNNNNNNNNNNNNNNNNNNNNNNNNNNNNNNNNNNNNNNNNNNNNNNNNNNNNNNNNNNNNNNNNNNNNNNNNNNNNNNNNNNNNNNNNNNNNNNNNNNNNNNNNNNNNNNNNNNNNNNNNNNNNNNNNNNNNNNNNNNNNNNNNNNNNNNNNNNNNNNNNNNNNNNNNNNNNNNNNNNNNNNNNNNNNNNNNNNNNNNNNNNNNNNNNNNNNNNNNNNNNNNNNNNNNNNNNNNNNNNNNNNNNNNNNNNNNNNNNNNNNNNNNNNNNNNNNNNNNNNNNNNNNNNNNNNNNNNNNNNNNNNNNNNNNNNNNNNNNNNNNNNNNNNNNNNNNNNNNNNNNNNNNNNNNNNNNNNNNNNNNNNNNNNNNNNNNNNNNNNNNNNNNNNNNNNNNNNNNNNNNNNNNNNNNNNNNNNNNNNNNNNNNNNNNNNNNNNNNNNNNNNNNNNNNNNNNNNNNNNNNNNNNNNNNNNNNNNNNNNNNNNNNNNNNNNNNNNNNNNNNNNNNNNNNNNNNNNNNNNNNNNNNNNNNNNNNNNNNNNNNNNNNNNNNNNNNNNNNNNNNNNNNNNNNNNNNNNNNNNNNNNNNNNNNNNNNNNNNNNNNNNNNNNNNNNNNNNNNNNNNNNNNNNNNNNNNNNNNNNNNNNNNNNNNNNNNNNNNNNNNNNNNNNNNNNNNNNNNNNNNNNNNNNNNNNNNNNNNNNNNNNNNNNNNNNNNNNNNNNNNNNNNNNNNNNNNNNNNNNNNNNNNNNNNNNNNNNNNNNNNNNNNNNNNNNNNNNNNNNNNNNNNNNNNNNNNNNNNNNNNNNNNNNNNNNNNNNNNNNNNNNNNNNNNNNNNNNNNNNNNNNNNNNNNNNNNNNNNNNNNNNNNNNNNNNNNNNNNNNNNNNNNNNNNNNNNNNNNNNNNNNNNNNNNNNNNNNNNNNNNNNNNNNNNNNNNNNNNNNNNNNNNNNNNNNNNNNNNNNNNNNNNNNNNNNNNNNNNNNNNNNNNNNNNNNNNNNNNNNNNNNNNNNNNNNNNNNNNNNNNNNNNNNNNGCUCCGUUUUUGACGUUCUUUAUAUGCACGCGUAGCUAAAAUUAUGCUCUACAACUUUCGUUUAGACUUCGUCGGCUAAUUUUGACUUUAAUUUUAAUAUUAUUAUUUUUAACAGACCGGGACAGGAAAAUCCGUUAAAAAUUCAUAACUUCUUCAUCCGACGUCCGUUUUCGUCAGACUUUUUACCGUUGCACUACAAAUGACGAGACCUUCAAUUCUCGUUUAGGUUGUGUCGGCUAAAAAUCACUCGAUCUAAAAUUCGAGUUUUUAGCUGUCUACUGCUAAGCUGAAACUUCGAAAAAUCAUAACUUCCUCAUACGAAGUCAGAUUUUGACGUUCUUUAUAUGAAAGUUGAUUAUUUUCACGAGUUCUACAACUUUCAUUUACAUCACUAAGGCUAAAAAUUAGUUUAUCGAAAACUAAAUUUUUACGCGACAAAGUAUUUUCCGGAUUUAUCACGGAUCUUCGUUUGGUCAUAACUUCUUCGUUAUAACUCGGAUUUCGACUAGGUUUUCGCCUAAAUGUUUCUAAUGAGAUUUUCUACAACUUUCAAUAUAAAAAUUUUACUUAUUCCAAAUUUUAUAUUUUCGCUAUAUUUCACUAUUUGACUAUUAAUUGGAAUUUCAUAAGACUUCUAAUAUUUUAUGAGUGAUUCUAAACAUAGUUUUACUUCAUUUCUAGUAAAAACUAUCUGUUAGAACUCAACACUUAAUUUUGUUCACUUUUAAUAAUAACAAUACAUAAUUUCAGAAUGUGUAUGUUACAAAUACCUCCUCCUUUUGAGGAUUUCGUCCCCGAAAUCAUAACGAUUAAAACAAUUAGGGAUACUUCACUCUUAUUUCAUUCUUACUUUUCCCAAGUAUAAUUUGAGCCUCGACGGUGUUUCUAUAUGAAAAUCACCAACUCUACAUCUUUAUUAUGUAGAUUAGUCGUUCUUUCAUUUACGAUCUCUUCUACUUAACUUAUUAUCUAGUUUCACCUCGGAUAAUAGAACCAUUUCAUCAUAUAUGCUUAACCUUUACACAGAUAGCUCACAUGAAACACUUCAUGAAUAUCUUUCAAAUCUUCAGGCAAUUCUAAGUAGUAAACUUGCUUACUAACUGUUCUUUCUUCCAAAGUAGAAUAACGCCUUUUCAUGAAAUACCUUCAGUAUUACUAAAUCAUCCACCCGGAAUUCUACGGGUCGUCUCCUCUUUUCUGCAUAGGACAUUUGUCGAUCCUAGGCCGCUUUCAUUCUUUCUCGGAAAAUUUGUAUCUUGUCAGUGAUGUCUUGAAUCAUUUCAGAUCCUCCAAAGAUCUUCUGUCCUACGUCACACCAACAUAUUUGAGUAUGACAUUUAUGCUCAUAUAGUACUUUAUAUACCUUCAGUAUAUUUUCUACUAUUUGGAUUGCUCUCUUCUUCUGAUUAUUUUUCUGAGGAUGAUAAGUUGUGUUGGAGUAAUUCGAGAUCCCAAUUCACUCUUCAUACUCACCCAAAAGUGAGAAGUGAAGCGAGUAUCACGAUCGGAAAAAAAAUCUUUAGUGGCACACCAUGUCUCGCGAUGAUUUCAUCUAAGUAACUUACGCGUAUUUCUCCAAUGGAGUCGUUUCACGUGUGGCGAGAAUAUAUGCACUCUUCAUCAGCUGGUCGAUAAUUAUCCAAAGAUUAUCAUUCACAGUUUUCUUCUCCUCUUUCAAGGUAUUAACUGUAUAAGACGGAUAAGUAGAAUAUCCCUUCGACAUAAUUUACGAGUUUCUAAGAAAGAACUUUAUUAUUUUCACCGUAGACAUAAAUGGAAUCUUCCCUUUCGAUAGGGAUGCAUAUCAUCUCUUUGUAGCACAAGAGCUCUGCGUGGUUCUUUAACAACCAAUCCAUGUCGAGAAUAAUAUCAAAGAUAGGAAUUAGGUUAGCAGGAAGAUUAUAACUUUCAAUUCCUAUAAUACCAACUCUAUAGGCUUUAUUAGCAAGUAAUGAUACAUUUCCUAUGUUAUCUAUAUGAAAUGAUUGGACAAUUGCGUAACAAGCAAUUUGAAAAGAAUAUGCGAAUUUAUAAGGCACGAAAGAAUCUGAGGUAUUGAAUUCAAAUAAGAUGUGAGUAGAUCUAGAGUUUAUAAGAAAAUUACUAGUCACAAUAUUCUAGUUUUAACUUACUUCUUUUGUGGUAAUCUAAAAUGUAUGAUAUUUUAACUUUUAGUUUGCCAAACGAUUGUCAAACUCUUCAAACUUAUUAAUUACUAGCGGUGCUCAAACCUGCACCCGCUCAUCAUUCUCUAUUGGGCUUUCGAUCCUAAUCUUUGAGUUAAAACUCAAUUUUCAUUGCAGACUCCUGCUCCUUCUUGGUUUAUAAACUAAACCCACGAUAAGGUCUUUACUUUUGCUAUAACAGCAACUCGAAUGGUUUUAUUCUAAUGACAUUUGUAUUUAUAACACACAAGACACAUAACGAACCAAACUCUUGUAUUAGAAUCAGAUCAAAUAAAUCAAGCUGAUGGAAUAAAGAAAAUGAAAAGAGUUUGAUCAACACGUAGAUGCUUUGGAACAGAAAGAAUAGCACCACGUAUCUCUAAUUCGUGCUUUCGGACCUACACAUCUUUUAGCUUUUGGCACCUCCUCCUUUUUAGUUGGAGUACUCUUUGAUUGUUGAACGGAAACUUGACUCCCCGCCAUUUGACUAGUAAGAGUAGGGCGGAAACAUUUCUUGUGGCCAGUAACAUCACAUAGCAAGUCAUAUCUCUGGCAAAUGAUUGCUCAACUCUUUAAUGAAUAUCGUUAUAUUUCUAUCGAUUACCUUGACCGUUUACUUCUUCAGUAUUCCUACUGAAGUUUUGUCACUAUAUGAGACAUGGUUCUCUAAACCAAUCAACUCCUUUCGUGGAUUUAUACUAAUCGGACUCGAUUCUUUAUGACAUUAAGAUUUGAACGAUAAUUAUCUUCUUAGUCAUUACCGAAACGAAGGUAACGACACACAUGAAUAAAACGAAAUCAUUUACUAGCUUCUUGGUAACCUUGUGACUUUUCCUGAUCCAAGUGUGAGUCAUGUGCUUCCAGUAGUAUAGGCCUCUACUACUAUUCACACCUACUCAUACUCGUCCCAAGUAUUGUCUCGCAGUUCCCAAGUCACCAUUCAAAAGUUUUCACAAAGCAACUUAUCACACAUGAAUGUGUUCAAACAAAUACAUACAACAGUUUCUCCUAGACUCAACUAGGGUUUUCACGUUUCUAUCAAACAUAUAUUGGAUUACCUAUACUCGCCUUCUAGGAUUCUUCUCAUGCAUAUGCUCGCUUUAAUAUAUCCUAAUACUUUUCCAUAGGUCGAUAGAAAUUUUACUUCCAUUUCUUCAUAUAAAUUCUUUCUCGAGUAGUGUCUACUCUACAAGACACACUAUUCCAAAAUUUACUCUAGCAGCAUGGAGACAAACGGUCUUCUACUACCUGCAUCAUCUUCUAACUCAUGCAAACCAUCAUGCACAUUUGUUCAUUUCAUUAUUCUUCCUUGAAAUCGUGAUUCUUAUAUCUGAGUAAGCCUAAGUCUACUUCAUAGGAGUCUAUCCUAAGAAGUCUGCAUCUUAGCUGCAUCUCAGCAAGCUCUACUAGCUUCAACUUGGUUCUCUGUCAUUCCUGACUACAACAUCUCUUCUCAUACGAUACUAUGGGUGUAUUUCUUCUUCAAUUAAGCAUUCUACCUUACUUAAACAAGUAAGUUGCUUAACCAUUUACCAUUAAAUGACUCAAUUCACCAUCCCAAUCUUGUAUGUUAAAGUCGGCUUAACACACAAUGGAACUUCUAUAAGGAUGGGAUAGAAGUCAAUCAUCACUUAGUAUUAUUAAAUACUAAGUCUGAACAUCUUUUAUAGGGUUACUACUCGAACUACAUACUACAUCACAAAGUCUUGGCCUAUUAAGUCUGAAAACCUUCAUUAGCCAUUCCUUUGAUCUUCAUUUAAUUCUUCUAAUCUUGUACAACAUCAAUUGAGAUACUAUUGAAGUAUUGACCGCCAUCUUCGGUUAUUCUGACUCUCUAAACAAUCACUGCUUCAAUCUAAACAACGGUGGAAACAACUUCGUGGAUUCGCACCAACACAUUUGUCUCGCCCAAACGUGUUUCAAACGCACAUCUUUCUUCCAAAGAUGUUAUUAUAUAUCAAACAUACUUUAAAUGUAUAUUACCACUCUAUUGGCAUUAAUACACUUAUUACGAUAAUAAUUCAUAUUUAUUAUUUUACGAUAUCUCGCGAUCGUUUAUUUAUAAACUUAUCGAUGUCAACUAUCAUAAGUCUCUUUAUCACUUCGAAAAAUUCUAUUACGAAAAUUCUUAGAAUUCUGAACAUAAAAUUUUCUAAACCAAGGUCGGCAACAGACCUUAAGCUUUCUCAAAUAAUAGCAAUUAUAGAUAAGCACCUUAAGGCAUGCUAUAUUCAUUUAUCAUUUAGCACAUAUUAGAAUAUAAGGCAUAUCUCCUCUUAAUAUUCUAGUGCUUGAUUCCAUUAGGUAUUCAACCUAAAAUAUACCAGAUACAUAUCGUAUCAUCUUCACUUAACAAUUCUUGUUUAAGUUUAGAAAUUCUCAAAAUUUCUAGUUCACUUAAACUAAUUUUCUUAAAAUUCUGAAGUAACUUAAUAUCUUAGAAUACUAGGGUUUAUCACUACCCAAUCCCCCACUUAAAUAUUUCCUAUGGUUUGUAUCCAUAUACUUAUUAUGAAUCAGCUCAUAUAUUGAGCUUCCAACAGUUUAAGUCUAAAUACCAAUCCGUGAUAUUUAGUUCACUUAAACCAUUGCUCUGAUACCAUGAUUGAAAGACCCCAACUUUCGUAUUUAUGAAAGACCCAAACUUUCAUACUAUUCCAACAUUAUUCUUAAGUUACUUCCUCAAAACAUGCUACAUGCAUAUUUAUAAAACAAUAUUUUAUAUUGAUAAAGUGAUUACAAAAGAUUGGAUACAAACCGACUAAGUUUUAUUACAUUUCAUAUCUACCCAGGAAUCUACUAUUCAUAUACAUACAUGAACAUUAAAAUACAUAGAAAUAGUAUUAACUAUUCUAAAUCUUUCAGCAGUAUAAAACUAUAUUGGAUACUCAUCACCUGCAAUUGUUAAAUAUUGAGAGGGAUAAGCGAUAACGCUUAGUGAAUUCAAUAAAUAGAUACAAUAUAAUCUUAUGCCUUAUAUAUAUCAAUAUGACAGAAGCAAAAGGGAACAAGAACAACAAUAGCAUAUGCGUAUCAUAUGUCACGCUUUCAAUAUCAACUCAAGAUUUGAUUCAAAGAUUUACGAUCAAUGAGACAUAACAAUUUCACUACUUGAUAUACAUCAAUAAAGCUUUUGGCCCAAACGGCACAGAAGAUAUACAACUUCGGAUUAACAUUUUGGUAGAUUUCAGGCUUAAAGCCCUGUCUAACCAUUUGCCAAUACCAUAGAAUAGAGUUCAUUCUCUUACGGAGUCAUGCUCUACAUGGUCAGAGGCUACAUACCAGUCCUAUCUAACCUUCUGCCAAUGCCAUAGAAUAGAAGUCAUUCUCUUACGAGACAUGUUCUACAUGGACAGAGGCUACAUACCAGUACCACUGUGAAUCUAAGUCCUUUCACUGAUCACAAGGUCAAAGGUAUAUCUUUGCUAUUAAAAAUAGCAAUUAAAAAUAACCCGGGAAAAUAACCCGGAAUAAUAACGCUGAAAAGCACGUAGUACAUAUAACACAUAACAUACAAUUGUUCCUAUAUAUUAAACUCACCUUAAAAUAAUCGGGGGUUAAAAUUGUAAUUUGAGCAGCAUAUCGGCUCCAAAUAUGGCUUUAUUUGUUGAAAACCGGGAGAAUUAGCUAAAAACCGGACUCUAAAAAGGUAGAGCUUCAAAACCAAAAAGAUAAAUUUUCCGGGCUUCACGGAACUUCGGGGCGUGUUUCGGGUGUUAAAAUUGACACCGGGGCUUCGGGGGAUGUCAAAAUAGUCAAAAUAUGGAAAAGGGGGCCAAAAAUGGCAAUUUUCUAAAAUUCCUCGGCAAGGCUUGCAGGCCUUGUAUUUAUAGGGAGGAGAUGCGAGGGUUCGCUGAUAAGAAGGAGGAGUCAGCGAGACAGAUGGCAGCUCGCGAGAAGACCAGAUGGCGCGCAUGCGAGGUCUCCAGGUGGCUCGCUUCGGACGCAACAGGCGUCUUCGGAUGCGAGGAGUCACCGGGUGACUAAGCAGCUUCGGACGACUCAUCGCGACACGCGUCGGAUCCGGGCGAGGGUGAGUCACGACGUCGGAAACGAGGCGGACACGGCAUCGGACCAAUCAGAAGGUGCCACGUGGAUUAUCACUAUUCAUGCGAAAAUUAAAUAAAAAAUGUGCCAAAUCUUGUAAAAUCCAUAACUUUUGCACACGGGCUCCGUUUUUGACGUUCUUUAUAUGCACGCGUAGCUAAAAUUAUGUUCUACAACUUUCGUUUAGACUUCGUCGGCUAAUUUUGACUUUAAUUUUUAUGUUAUUAUUUUUAACAGACCGGGACAGGAUAAUCCGUUAAAAAUUUAUAACUACUUCUACAACCGAUUUGUUUCAUCGCUUAGAUGAACAAAUAUAAGCUCAAAAAUUUUAAUAUUUGUCAUAUUUUGUUCAAUAUACUAGGAAUAAUUCAAAUUAAAAAAAAACAAACAAACAAAAAACAAAGCCCAAAAUUACUCACAAUAUUUGUUCAAUGCGUAAAUUUUGUAGCCCCAAAAGAGUCCACUUAAGAAAUUUAAACAACCCAACAAAGGAGAAGCUUAGCCUAAGAGAGAAAGAGAUAGAUCAAAAGAGUAUGGUAGGAGAGUGCUGAGGGAUGAGGGAGUGCGGUUCGAACUACAUACAAGGGUCGGUGUGUUGCAUGUUGAGGUGGCCAAACCGUAGGUGCUACACCCACUAGUCUUAUUUGUAUGCAAUUUUGCAUUUUUUUAAUUAUUUAGGAAUUUUAUUAGUAUAUUAUGUUAUUUUAUCAAUUGAAAGCACAAAACAUACUAAAACGGUAAAGUGGUCAUAUUCGACAUUUAACACACUUAGUCAGAUCUGUAACCAAAUAAUUUGGUUUCAAUCGGACAGAUUUAAUCAGAGCCUCAAAUCCAGUUAAGAAUCUAACUUAGUCAGCAACUAUCAAACAACCCUUUAGUCUUUAGCAAUAAGUUUUUAUCUCCACAUAUUUAAUUCCCGUUUGUGCACUAGAUGAAUUUAAUCAAAGAAAAUAGUUCCAAGAAUCUCUUUAAUUCUUGUUAACAUUGUAGGAUAUUUCCUAUAUCAAAUUGGCUCUAUCGAUUUGGUGCUUUCAUCUUUGUUUCAAUGCCUCCUCGUCAUGACAACAAUCUUGAUUAAUAGUCUUACCCUUCAAGAAUAGUUCCAGACCUCAACCAAAUAUCUACUCCCAUGACCACCUAAAAUCCCUCUCAUAUACUUUGACAAUACCAACACUUAAGACUUCUUUAAGCCAACAAUUAUUUUGAGUAUUCUAUUACGCUCAUACAAUGGCUUUCCCUAGUAGUUUUUUACUUUUUUAGAUACGUUUUGAGUUAGUACAUACAUCUCGCAAACUAUACUUUUAUUGGCACAUGGUCGAAGUUUUUAUUGAGCCUUGGAACUUUAUUUUGGCUUUCCUACCUACGAAAAUCACCAUGCCACCCUAUUAAAACUCAAGCAACCAACCACAUAAUACAUGUAACGUCUCGAUUUUUAGAAUAAAAUUUUCAUUUGUGAAUUGGCAUAAACACUCAUUUUCAUAAAUGUAUAUUCUAAUCGAAACUAUUUUUCAUAAACUGAAUCUAUAAAUAAGAGUUAUAAGGAAAAGUGUUAUGGGAUCUUAAAUCAUUAAACUAUUGAUGUGUAUGUGUACAGUCAUGCAUUUGCCUUCCUACGAACUGUUAAAGUACCUAAAAAGCAUUUAAUCCACAACUAUAAGCCAAAGCUUACUGAGUUCCCCAAAAUACCUCACACAAUAAUACACAUACAAUGCAUGCACACAAGGCCUACAAUGCAAAGUUGGACCGCCACAUGGGCCUUCAACACAAAGAUGGACCACCACAGGGCCUACAAAUCUCAAAUCUAACUCUUCUAAGUGACUUAAUGGAUAAAGUUUCCAACUUCAUCCAUUCCAUGGUUCAAACAAUCAAGAUCUAGACUUUAAGUCUCAAAGGGUCCAAGAAUGCAUCUUUAUUGUCUUAAUCUAAUUAGUCAAAGUCUUCCACUUUCAUAUAUGAAUCAACAUGAUGUCUAAAUGGAUAAAGUUUCCAACUUUAUCCAUUAUAAGGACACAAACUUUCAAGAUCUAAAACUCUAAGUUAAGAAAUGGGCAAAAAAUCCCAUUUUUUGUGCUUGGAGUAAAGACAACUUUUGUAUGCACUCUCUACUCCACCAAAUGACCAUUUAUCAUCCUAAACAUUAAUCAAAAGCUCAAGAGCUUUACAAAAUAUAUGAAACAAGCCACCAAGGGACCAAACUCAUUAAAAAGGACUAAAACUCCCAACAUUCAAAGAUCUGAAGAUAAAACACAAUAAUGCUUUAAACUUUAUGACUUACAAAGUUCUAAGAGGUGAAUAGAGGUUAAAUACUUCAAAUGUAUAGCUUCAAAGACCAAUACUUCUUGUUCUUCUUCCUUGUAGAGCACAAUACCACCAAAAGAAAGUACCCAGUGAACAUUAAGAGAUUACCAAAAUGGAUUUAGGAGAGAAGAUGAGUUCCAAACACUUUGAUUAAGGCUAGGGUUUCAUUAGAGGUGUUCUAAGGGAGGCGGAGGCUGAAAAAGACGGACCCUUAGAGUCAAUGGCCUUUAAAUAUCCUAAAAACACAAAAAAAAUAUAUAAAAAAAACAUGCAACUUAUUAGGCCGGGAGCACCCCACACUUGCAAGGGGCGCUCCUUUGUAACACCCAGUUCCAGGUAAACAUUUUUUCUUGAAUCUCCAAUUGAAUUCUUGGAGAUUUAACUCUGGUUACGAAGUGAGCACUUAUGUGUCACGACGUGACCAUGCUAGAAGGAAACGCACAUACCCUUAAGAUUCGCGACGUGACUACUUACGGGUCACAACGUGAGAGCUAUUAUGAGCCAAACCCUGAUUUUGGGGAUUUUCCCAUAUUUACAGGAAGUAAGGGCUAGGGUUAACCCACCCUCAACCUCCGUUACCUCCUAACACUCCCCCUUGAAAGCCUAAUCGUCCAUAGUUGAUUUUAAGCUCCAUUUAGGUGUUUUCUAUCCAAGAAGAAUGAGAGAUAGAGAUUGGUGCAUCAACUCAACAUUCAAGCUUCACCAUCAUCCAUUUUCACACCUUCUGGACCCUCGUGAGUUUCCAAGUUCAAUGCUUUAUGAGUAUAUUAUUGGAUUAGGUGUCUAAUCCAAUAGCUAAAUUAGUAUAAUCUUGAAUUAUUAGCAAAGUCCUUUUGGGUUGCCCUCAAACCUGGCAAUUGACUGGAAUGCUAUUUGGAGAGAGAAAGAGACUGAUUUAUUAAUUUAUUAUAUGAUUAAUAAAUUAAUUAGAAAUCAAAAUAAAUAAUUUAUUGAUGUAUUAUGAGAAUAAUAUAUUUGUAACGACCCAAUUUUCACGCCCAAAAAUUUUAUUUUUGAUUAAGUGAUUUGCAAAACAUUUGUAACAAAAUAUCAUCCGAUCAUAUCAUAUCAUUUAAUAAAAACAUGUCUCGUAUCUGAAAGCCGAAUCGCAAAACAUAAUAAUGUCGGAGUACAAAUCCCAGAAUAUCUCAUAGUGCGGAAAACAAAGAACGUGUGUAUGAUGCGCCGCUACCUCGCCAGCUCCUUCCCCUUUACUGAAGAGGUACCUGAAACCAAAACAGAAAACUGUAAGCACGAGCUUAGUGAGUUCCCCCAUCGUACCACAUACCAUACCAUCACAUCUCAUACAUACUGCCAGACAUUUCUGGGGUGCCCAACCUACCCGGUACGACCAUUAUGGGGUGGACCUACCCAUUCGGUCAUUUUGGGGUGUCGUCCUACCCGUGUCAAGCCAUUCUGGGGCGCUGACCUACCCAUGUCGAGCCCUUCUGGGGUGCUGACUACCCUUCGGUCCUAACAACUGAAACUCGGGGACUAUUUCACCCCCUACUACUACUAUCACAUAUAUCAUAACAUAAUCUAUUGUCGGACAUAUCUGGGGUGUCCGACCUACCCUUCGGUCCUAACAACCGAACUCUAUCACUAUUACAUAUCAUAUCAUGCUAGCAGCUAAACAUAUCAUAACAUACUGUUAGGCAUAUCUGGGGUGCCUAACCUACCCUUUGGUCCUAACAACCGAACUCUAUCACUAUUACAUAUCAUAUCAUGCUAGCAUAUAACGUAUCAGGUAGUAGCAACACAGAUGAAUAUCACAAAAACAAACAUCUAACAUACGAUCCUUACUGGUGGGCCGGCAUUUUGGCUGUAGACCCACCGCUACUGGAAGGUAACUCACCUCGUAGUAGCUGCUAAACUGUGCGGGAAUCCUCUGACUGCUGCCGCUGCUGCUCCGGAAACCCUCCGGCUAAAAAUCCCACAAAACACUUAGUCAUACACUGCUAACCGUUCUUAGAGUAAAAUGACCAUUUUACCCCUGAACAAGUCAAAGUCAAAGUCAACUUCUAGUUGGCCUGACUCGCCGAGUUGGCUCGCCACCUCGCCGAGUCCCUAUCCUUCCAUUAGACCUCAUACCAGUCUCUACUCGUCGAGUUAGGCGAUGACUCGACGAGUUUUCCUUCUAAAUGAACGUCGACUGAAUCCUCAUCCGACUCGCCGAGUUGUAUGAACAACUCAUCGAGUUCAUCAUCAACUGAUAUACAGGUCAUGUCCUUGACUUGCCGAGUCGUAUGAACAACUCGUCGAGUUCAUCUUCAUCCUUAAGAAGAUUGCCUUGGACUCGCCGAUUCUGUUCAUGCACUCGUCGAGUCCCAUGAAUUUCCAGAACAAUGGCUUAGUCCAGAACAUUGGGUCACUCCCUGGGACCCCCUUAAAGCUUUUCCACACUCAACUGAUUCCUUAUGACCCUUAACUGAUAUGGGACAGAACCUUGGACUCGCCGAGUAGGAAUGGCAACGGGGCGGGUUCGGGGCGGGGCAUGGAUUCCCAAACCCGCCCCGAUAACUUUUGGGUAUCUUAUCGGGGCGCCCCAUUGGGUUUCGGGUAUCUUAUCGGGUUUACAACAAUUGAUAACGAAAUCUUUAUUCUCUUUUAGGGUACCCCAAUGUCUUAUAAAAUAUACAUGUUCUAGCAACUCUUUUAAAUUAAAAACAUGAUGCAUCACUUUAAUAAAAUAAACUGGACGUUAUAUUAAAAAUUAUUUGAUUUAAGUUUUGUUUAAUACGUCAAAACACAUAAAAAUGAUCAUUAACACCAGAUUGUUAAUAACUAAAAAAAUUGUCCACAAUAAGUAUUUUAUAUUUGAACGCGUACAAUUAACAGCAAAAUUUUUUGAACAUUAUAUAUAUAUAUAUAUACACACACACACACACACACACACAUAUAUAUAUACAUAUAUAAUCGGGGCGGGGCGGGUCGGGGCGAGGAUAACCCACUCCCUGCCCCGAACCCGAUAAAAAACCCGAUAACGACCCGUUACCCGACCCGAAAUGAUCGGGUUUCAGGUUUCCCCGUCGGGUUCGGGUUUUUUUGCCAUCCCUAUCGCCGAGUCCAAGAACGGACUCAUCGAGUUGGUCACAACCACUCACUGGAUCUUCGAUUUCUAACGUACAACCUUUGAUCAAAAGAUAGAUCUACGCUUCUACAAUCGAUAUAGCACGUAAAGUUAUAACCUUUACGUGCUUGCAUGGGACUUUGAGCUUAAAAUGUCCUUUAACAAGCCCUCUCAAAGCAUGGGGCCUUCUUUGAGUGCAAGAGCCACUCCUUUCUGCCUUGUAACCCCUCUAAGGGCCUAGAUCCGAAACAUCAACUCCAAACCAUGCUUGCAAUCAUGGUUGGUGACCAAAAUGGCUUAGAAAAGCCCUAAAACUUCACAAAAUGGGAUCUAGCAAAUGGAAGAGCAAGGUACAGGCUUUUUACCUUCAAUGAGCUGAAAAUGGUGCACAAACUCGGAUCCCUUUAGCCUCCUCUUGUUCCUUCAAGCUUUUCCUUCCCUCCUUGGAUCAUAAAAGCACCAAAGUCACUCCAAAUGCCUUAGAUUGCUUCAACAAUGGCUAGGGUUUGCUAUGGGGGUUUUUUGGGAGCAAAUGGGACUAAGGAGGCCGAGUUAAGGUGUUUAAAUAGGGUGCAAACCCUCGGAUUAGGGUUUUUGUCCAAACAGGGUCUACUCGCCGAGUCCGGGACCCGACUCGCCGAGUCCAUCGCUUAAGUCCCGUGUCCCUUCUCGCUUUUACUCGACGAGUUGGACCUUUAACUCGCCGAGUCCAAGGCCAAAAUGCAAAGUAUUUAACAAAAGAAUACGUACCAAGAACCAGGUGCUACAAAUCUCCCCCACUUAUUUUAGACUUCGUCCUCGAAGUCUGCUGCUCGAUCCUGAAACAGCUCGAUGUAAUGUUCCAUCAUCUCAUCCAUCGAAUCCCAAGUCCACUCCGACCCUUUAUGGUGCUGCCAUUGCACCUUUACGAGUUCCACUCUUUUGUUCCUCAGAUCCUUUGACUUUCGGUCAAGGAUCGCUACAGGCCGCUCGAUGUAAGUCAGGCUGCCAUCAACCUGAAUGUCCUCCAAGGGUACCACUACUGAGUCAUCCACCAGGCACUUUCGCAGCUGAGAAACAUGGAAAGUGUUGUGUAUCUGAUUGAGUUCUGCUGGCAAAUCCAGCCUAUGUGCCACCUUGUCCACCCGAGCUAUAACCCUGAAUGGCCCAAUGUACCUGGGGCCCAACUUGCCCCGUUUCCUGAAUCGGAUAACGCCUUUCCAUGGCGACACCUUCAAGAGAACCAUAUCCCCGACCUAGAACUCCAGGUCUGAUCAACGCUUAUCGGCAUAGCUCUUCUGCCGACUCUGAGCAGUCUGAAGCCUGCUCCGGACCUGCUGGAUCUUCUCUGUCGUCUUGAGCACUACCUUAGUGCUCCCCAUCACCCUCUGGCCAACCUCGCCCCAACAUAUCAGGGUCCUGCACUUCCUCCCAUACAGCAUCUCGAAGGGAGGACGAUCAAUGCUCACAUGAUAACUAAUGUUAUAGGAGAACUAUGCCAAUGGAAAGUAGGUGUCCCAGUGUUGCAAAACUCGGCCUACUCGGCCGAUUACUCGGAAUCGGCCCUCCACCGAGGCGAGUAAUGUCAACUCGGCCAAAAAAACUCGGAUUUAGUCAAAAUCGGCCAAAAAGCGGUCAAACUCGGUCAAAAAUCGGACAAACUCGGUCAAACUCGGGCCUACUCGGGCCUACUCGGUCAAACUCGGCCAACUCGGUCAAACUCGGUCAAAGGGUCAAAAUUGUCAUAAAAAGAGAAAAAAAUCAAGAAUUUCAAGAUUAAUAUGUAUAAUGCACUUAAUGAUUUAUUAUUUAACACAGACAUGUGAUUAUUACUACAUAUAUAUCUUAAAUUUUCAGUAAUUAUCCACGUAGUGAGAUAAUUAUGUGUAUUUUAGUUUUUAUGUAUUCACAUGUAUCUGAUUUUGGUUAUAUAUUUCAAACAAAUUAUGAUUUUUACUUAUGAUUUUGACAUAUAUAAUUUUUCAAAAAAUAUUUCUACAUGAAUUACCAAAUCCGAGUACUCCCCGAGUACUCCCCAAGUACUCCCAAGUACUCGUUACUCCCCAGUCGGCCGAGCAGGUACCGAGUAGCGAGUUCUACAACCUUGAGGUGUCCUAACUACCUCCGAAGUCUAAUAUGCAUGCUUGCAGAUAUCCCCCAAGGUCUGGAUGGUCCGCUCGCUCUGACCGUCCGUUUGUGGGUGGAAGGCGGUGCUAAAAUGUAGACGAGUACCCAGCUCGUCAUGAAACUUCUUCCAAAACCUGGAAGUGAACCACACAUCCCUGUCUGAAACCACUGACACUCGCACCCCGUGCCGCGCCACUACCUCCCUGAUAUAGAUAUCGGCCAACCUUUCGGCCGAAAUACUCUCCUGAAUCGGGAUAAAAUGGGCGCCCUUGGUCAAUUGAUCGACGAUUACCCAAAUCGAACCCACUCCCCGCACAGUCCUGGGAAGCUUUGUGAUAAAAUCCAUCGUGAUGUCUUCCCAUUUCCAAAGCGGAAUAUCCAGCGGCUGCAUCUUGCCGUGAGGUCUCUGAUGCUCAGCCUUGACCUUCCUGCAGGUCAAGCAUCACUCCACAAACCAUGCCACAUCCCGCUUCAUGUAGGGCCACCAAUAGUCCAGACGAAGAUCCGUAUACAUCUUUGUUGACCCGGGAUGAAUGGAAAACCAAGAUUUGUGUGCCUCCUCCAUCAGAACCUGGCGCACACCCCCAGGUAUGGCAUUCACACCCUACGGUGUAGUGUCAGUAAUCCCCGACUGUCAUAGUCGAAGGGGGAAACCUGCCCCACAAUCCGCUCGCUCUUCCNCCUCCUGCUGGGCCUCCCGAAUCCGCUCCAACAACGGAGUUACCGCUGUCAUCCUCAGACAGAUAUCCCUGAUUGGCGCUGCCUUGCGGCUAAGCGCGUCAUCCACCAUAUUGGCCUUACCCGGGUGAUAAAGGAUCUCGCAGUCGUAAUCCUUUACCACGUCCAUCCACCAAUGCUGCCUCAUGUUUAGAUUCGGCUGAUCCAUGAGGUACCUCAAACUCUUAUGGUCCGUGUAGAUGGUACAGCGAACCCCAUAGAGGUAAUGACGCCAAAUCUUGAGGGCGAACACAACAGCCCCCAACUCUAAAUCAUGUGUUGGGUAGUUCGCCUCAUGAGGCUUUAGCUGCCUCGAUGCGUAGGCGAUGACAUGCCCUCUCUGCAUGAAUACUGUGCCCAAACCUGAGAUGGACGCAUCGCAGUACACAACAAAAUCUUCCAUGCCCUCUGGCAGGGCUAAGAUUCGCGCCUUGCACAAUCUCUGUCUCAGUGUCUCGAAUGCGGCCUGCUGCUCAGGCCCCCAACGAAAGACCACGACCUUCCUCGUUAGCCUGGUCAGCAGUACGACUAUCUUGGAGAAAUCCUGAAUGAAUCUCCGAUAGUAGUCGGCCUCCACUUUGGCCAGGUCCACUGAAAUCCCAUCACGGCCUCCACUUUGGCCAGGUCCACUGAAAUCCCGUUCUGGUUGACGAGAUGCCCAAGGAACUGCACCUCGCGCAACCAGAACUUACACUUGGAGAACUUGGCGUACAAGUUCUCCCUCAUCAAAGUCUCCAGCAGCUCCCGCAGGUGAUCCUCAUGCUCCUCCUGCGUCUUGGAAUAAACCAAGAUAUCAUCAAUAAACACUAUCACAGACCGGUCUAACAUUGGUCUACACACGCGGUUCAUGAGGUCCAUAAACGCGGCAGGAGCAUUGGUGAGCCCGAAGGGCAUCACCACAAACUCAUAAUGGCCAUAGUGCGUCCGAAACGCAGUCUUCUGCACAUCCUCCUCUCUGACCCUCAUCUGAUGAUAUCCUGAACGCAGAUCAGUCUUGGAGAACCAAGAUGCUCCCUGUAGCUGGUCAAAGAGGUCAUCAAUCCUCGGGAGUGGGUAACGGUUCUUCAUCGUUACCUUGUUCAGCUCACGGUAAUCUAUACACAUCUGGUGCGAACCGUCCUUCUUCCUCACAAACAGAAUCAGGGCUCCCCAGGGUGAACUACUCGGUCUAAUGAAUCCCUUGUCUAACAGCUCCUGCAGUUGUGUAGACAACUCCUGCAUCUCAGGAGGAGCCAACCAAUACGGUGCCUUGGCUAUCGGAGCCGCACCAGGGACUAGGUCGGUCUUGAACUCCACCUGCCUCUUCGGAGGUAUCCAUGGUAACUCCUCGGGGAAUACAUCUGUAAACUCUCCCACCAUGGGCACAUCGCCCACUGUCGCCUUUCCCGCAUCCCGGGUAUCCAUAACAUAAGCGACAUAUCCUGCGCAACCUUACUGAAGGUAACGCCUAGCUCUCGCUGUUGAACAUAAGGUUGGUCCUUGUUGUGGCCUCUCGCCCUGAACUACCAACUCUCCCCCACUUGGGGUCCUGAUCCAAACCAGCUGCUAUGCGCAAUCUUUCACUGUCCCAUUGGGUCUCAACCAAUCCAUGCCUAUAAUCACCUUGUUCCCUCUCAACGGAAUAGGAACCAGGUCCACCAGAUAACGCUCCUUGAAUAAUCUCAACACACAGUCUCGGAAUACCAUCGAUGCUCGCACCGAUCGGUCAUCAUCAAUCUCUACCUCUAAAGGGCAAUCCAACAUGCCCGAAAACUUAGGAAAUUUCUUUCUAAGUGCAAGAGAGACAAAUGAUCAGGUAGCACCCGAAUCAAAUAGUACCUGAACUGGGAUACCGUUCACAUGGAACGAUCCUAAACAGAGCACAUACAUAGCAUAUCAAAAGCACAGCAGCAUAUCAUAACAACAUAAAUAAGAAAUCAUACCCGUCACCACAUCGGGUGCAGUGCGUACCUCCUCGGUAGUCAACUAGAAUGUCUGGCUCCUCACCACUGGAGCCUCUGCCUUGCCCUACCGGCCAUCAGUGAUCCGCAGGGUCGCUGGAGCUGGCACCUUCACUGGUGCUGAUGCAGUUGUCAACUGGGGGCAACUGGCACCUUUAGACGUCUGAAUAACCGGUGCACGAGCAGUACAAUCCCUGCUGAAAUGUCCCGUCUUGCCGCACUUGUAGCAGCCCGACGAUCCCAGUCUACACGCCCCCUCAUGUUGCCUGCCGCAUUUCCUGUAGUGGCCCAGUCCUGACUGGCCCUUCGGCCUACCAUCUGAUCCCUUGGGCUUCUUCCCUGAAGCCCCAGUCGUCUGACCCUCCUCAACCUUCCUCUUCCGGACAUGCUCCAGAUCAAUCUCCCUCUCCCUAGCGCUGGCAAUCAUGGAAUCUAGGGUAGGGCAAGCUAAAAAACUAACAUGCUCCCGAAUGCCAGCUCGUAGCAUGUCAUGGUAGCGGGUCCUCCUCAUGUCCUCGUACCCCGCAUAUUAGGGCACCAGUAACGCCCUUUCCCAAAACUUGGCAAUGAUCUCCGCCACAGUCUUUGUCGUCUGUCUCAUGUCUAAGAACUCCAUAGCCAACUGCUGGAGGUCCACUGUAGGUGCAAACUACGCUCUGAACCGAGUCACAAAGUCCGGCCACGUCAUAGCCUCAACAGCCGAGGCUCCCAGAGAGUCACCAACCGACUCCCACUAAUCUUUGGCCCUAUCCCUCAAGCACCCUGCCGCAUAUCUCACCUUCGACCCCUCGGGGCAGAAGCAGGUCAACUGUGCAGAAUCAAUGUCUGCAAUCCAUCGCCUAGAAGCAAUGGGGUCCUUCGCCUCAAGGAAAUCCAGC
rnacentral:lncRNA from 1 species